AGCUUCACGUUUCUCAGAGGACCUGCAAGACUGCUCUCAACCUACUUCGCCUGAUUUGCUUUGUUGGAGCCACACAGAUGUCUACACAACAUCAAAAUGCCCCUCUCCAGCCCCAAUCAUCUUUCACUUUCACAGGUGAACACCCUCUUAAAACAGCGACAGGCAAGUGUGCUGUUGUCUCUGGAAAAAAGGUUGUUUUUAAAAGACAAAAUGCAAAACAUGAACCAAAAUGGAAAGUAUGGAAACUCAGGAAAGGUGAAGCCCAGGGCAGAAUUUGUCUGGUGUUUGUAUGGCAUCACAGGAGUGAAGAUCAUAUCCUCAUUCAGAAUGGAAAUACGGUGAAGCUCAAGCGUGUCCCUAAUUUUGAGAAAAAUAUAAAGGGAUACCUGAAUUAUACUGAAUGUCAUUUUCAUUGGUGCAAUCUGAAUGGAAAUAAAGGCAGUUUGCAGUGUGCAGCAGCAAAGGAUUUAUACUUGGCAAUUGGCAAACGUUGGCUGAUUGCCAGCAAAACAGCAGAGCCAGCACUGUUCGAGUUGAUUUAGAUGUUGAUUUACCACAAAUCACAUAUCUUUAAUUCCCCUCUUGCAACUGUUUUAAUUAAAUCAUAUUUGUUUUAUUGUGUUUUAUUACUCUUUUAUUUAUUUUGUCUUAACCCUCCAUGGCAUGAAUUUAAUUUUUUUUCGUAGAAAAAAUAUUUUGCCCCAUCUUUAGAGAGCUUGGGGGUCCCUGUAGGAGAGUGUUUUUCAUCUCAAUUUCAUUUCAAGGUUCAACUUCAUGCUUAUGCAUUAGACUAGGCAUACUAAGUUCUCUCCCUAAUCCUAGACUUUCACAUUGCUUGUUUGUUUGUAAUGGAUGCAAAA